GUAAAAGAAGUUACUUUUAACUAGUUGAGGACACGAGGAGUAAAACAAGCUCUUCAUUCAUGUUUCAUCACAGAAACGUCUGCCACAUCUUCUCCAAGUUUAGUGUGUGUGUGCGUGUUGUUAAUUUUUCUUUUCCCUGGAGAACCUUGCCUGACGCAUUUUCUGGUACUAGAAGUGAGGUGAGUGUAUUUCGCAUGUGGGAUUGGGCAUAAAUAUUUUUAGACAAGAAGGUUGACUGUUAGGGGCUGAGUUGUGUCCCCUAAACAUUUCAGUGAUGGUUUUAUCUUAUCUCCUAGGACCUGUGAAGGAGAGUUUAUUUAGAAAUAAGGUUUGCCAUACAUAAUCAAGUGAGCAUGAUGUUAUUAGGGUAGGCCUUAAUCCGAUGUAACUGGUGUCCUUACAAGAAAAUAUGUGGAGAUACAGACACACAAGGAGCGUUUCAUAUGAUGGCAUCCAUCAAAAUGACAGCGCUACAGAUGCAGGGCUAGGGAGGACGCGCGGCCACUAUUCAGAAGACGCAAGGAAAGCAGAAGAUCGGGAGCUUAUUGUCUUGUGGAUGUCAACUCAAUGAACUCUGGGCGGACUUGAUCAGGCACAAGAUCAGAAUAUCUUGCUUUGAAUGUGUCCUAUGAAAAGAAAGAAAAGGAACUGUUCAUGGAAAACAAAAUAUAUCGACAUUUUAUCUGUGCUAUUUCAUAUCUUUGCGGCAUCAUUUGUCACUGAGUCUAUGGCCAUUGUUCUACAAAAGCUACCACAACAACAACCUUCUGUGAGUGCCCCCACAAGGAGCAACUUCAACAGGAAAACCCAGGGGCACUGCACCUUCAGCCCUUGUCUGUGAUUCCACCUCCCUCACGGAAGUGUCACUACUGCUGCUGAUUCAUAAGAUUCCAGGAUCUGAAUGAAUCACAUGGGACACCGUGGACGCCCAGGAGAACUAAUAUUUGUUUGAAAAAAUAAUUAACCAAUGGGGAGAGGAGCAGAAGAAUAAAUCAUUAACUUUU